CCUACGGGUGGCAGCAGUGAGGAAUAUUGGUCAAUGGGCGCGAGCCUGAACCAGCCAAGUCGCGUGAAGGAUGACUGCCCUACGGGUUGUAAACUUCUUUUGUAAAGGGAUAAAGUGAGGCACGUGUGCCUUUUUGUAUGUACUUUAUGAAUAAGGAUCGGCUAACUCCGUGCCAGCAGCCGCGGUAAUACGGAGGAUCCGAGCGUUAUCCGGAUUUAUUGGGUUUAAAGGGAGCGUAGAUGGGGUGUUAAGUCAGGUGUGAAAGUAUGCGGCUCAACCGUAACAGUGCAAGUGAUACUGGCAGUCGUGAGUACAGGUGAGGUAGGCGGAAUGCGUGGUGUAGCGGUGAAAUGCUUAGAUAUCACGAAGAACUCCGAUUGCGAAGGCAGCUUACUAAACUGCCACUGACAUUGAGGCUCGAAAGUGUGGGUAUCAAACAGGAUUAGAUACCCCGGUAGUC
rnacentral:rRNA from 1 species